UGAGCAACCUGCCCUUGACUCUGGGAUAACCCCGGGAAACCAGAGCUAAUACCGGAUACGAACCGCACAGGCAUCUGAGCGGUUGGAAAGAACUUCGGUCAAGGAUGGGCUCGCGGCCUAUCAGCUUGUUGGUGAGGUAACGGCCCACCAAGGCGACGACGGGUAGCCGGCCUGAGAGGGCGACCGGCCACACUGGGACUGAGACACGGCCCAGACUCCUACGGGAGGCAG
rnacentral:rRNA from 1 species